rnacentral:pre_miRNA from 1 species
ACAACAACAUUCGGACCGUCGGUCUACCGAGCAAUAUCACCGGCUCGGUGGAAGAUCUUCCCUUUGUAGUAUUCC